CCUACGGGUGGCUGCAGUGGGGAAUAUUGCACAAUGGGGGAAACCCUGAUGCAGCGACGCCGCGUGAGCGAUGAAGUAUUUCGGUAUGUAAAGCUCUAUCAGCAGGGAAGAAAAUGACGGUACCUGACUAAGAAGCCCCGGCUAACUACGUGCCAGCAGCCGCGGUAAUACGUAGGGGGCAAGCGUUAUCCGGAUUUACUGGGUGUAAAGGGAGCGUAGACGGCGGUGCAAGCCAGAUGUGAAAGCCCGGGGCUCAACCCCGGGACUGCAUUUGGAACUGUGCUGCUUGAGUGUCGGAGAGGCAGGCGGAAUUCCUAGUGUAGCGGUGAAAUGCGUAGAUAUUAGGAGGAACACCGGUGGCGAAGGCGGCUUACUGGACUGUAACUGACGUUGAGGCUCGAAAGCGUGGGGAGCAAACAGGAUUAGAUACCCCGGUAGUC
rnacentral:rRNA from 1 species